GACGAACGCUGGCGGCGUGCUUAACACAUGCAAGUCGAGCGGUAAGGCCCUUUCGGGGGUACACGAGCGGCGAACGGGUGAGUAACACGUGGGUGACCUGCCCUCAGCUCUGGGAUAAGCCUGGGAAACCGGGUCUAAUACCGGAUAUGACUCCAUGACGCAUGUUGUGGGGUGGAAAGCCUUGUGCGGCUGAGGAUGGGCCCGCGGCCUAUCAGCUUGUUGGUGGGGUGANGGCCUACCAAGGCGACGACGGGUAGCCGGCCUGAGAGGGCGACCGGCCACACGUGGGACUGAGACACGGCCCAGACUCCGUACGGGAGGCAGCAGGUGGGGAAUCUUGCGCAAUGGGCGAAAGCCUGACGCAGCGACGCCGCGU
rnacentral:rRNA from 1 species